GACGAACGCUGGCGGCGUGCUUAACACAUGCAAGUCGAACGCUGAAGGCUCAGCUUGCUGGGCUGGAUGAGUGGCGAACGGGUGAGUAACACGUGAGUAACCUGCCCUCUUCUUUGGGAUAACGGUCGGAAACGGCUGCUAAUACCGGGUAUUCACUGUCCUUCGCAUGGGGGGUGGUGGAAAGGUUUUUUCUGGUGGGGGAUGGGCUCGCGGCCUAUCAGCUUGUUGGUGGGGUGAUGGCUUACCAAGGCUUUGACGGGUAACCGGCCUGAGAGGGUGACCGGUCACAUUGGGACUGAGAUACGGCCCAGACUCCUACGGGAGGCAGCAGUGGGGAAUAUUGCACAAUGGGCGAAAGCCUGAUGCAGCGACGCCGCGUGAGGGAUGAAGGCCUUCGGGUUGUAAACCUCUUUCGCUCAUGGUCAAGCCGCAACUCAAGGUUGUGGUGAGGGUAGUGGGUAAAGAAGCACCGGCUAACUACGUGCCAGCAGCCGCGGUAAUACGUAGGGUGCGAGCGUUGUCCGGAAUUAUUGGGCGUAAGGGCUUGUAGGCGGUUUGUCGCGUCUGCCGUGAAAUCCUCUGGCUUAACUGGGGGCGUGCGGUGGGUACGGGCAGACUUGAGUGCGGUAGGGGAGACUGGAACUCCUGGUGUAGCGGUGGAAUGCGCAGAUAUCAGGAAGAACACCGGUGGCGAAGGCGGGUCUCUGGGCCGUUACUGACGCUGAGGAGCGAAAGCGUGGGGAGCGAACAGG
rnacentral:rRNA from 1 species